UGGGGAAUAUUGCACAAUGGGCGAAAGCCUGAUGCAGCAACGCCGCGUGCGGGAUGACGGCCUUCGGGUUGUAAACCGCUUUCAGCUCUGACGAAUUUGACGGUAGGAGCAGAAGAAGCACCGGCUAACUACGUGCCAGCAGCCGCGGUGAUACGUAGGGUGCGAGCGUUGUCCGGAUUUAUUGGGCGUAAAGAGCUCGUAGGUGGUUGUUUGCGUCGGAAGUGAAAACCUAGCGCUUAACGCUGGGCUUGCUUUCGAUACGGGAUGACUUGAGGAAGGUAGGGGAGAACGGAAUUCCUGGUGGAGCGGUGGAAUGCGCAGAUAUCAGGAGGAACACCGGUGGCGAAGGCGGUUCUCUGGACCUUUCCUGACGCUGAGGAGCGAAAGCGUGGGGAGCAAACA
rnacentral:rRNA from 1 species